AUCCUGUAUUUUUGAGACCUUAAAGUACUGUAGCAGCACAUCAUGGUUUACAUACUACAGUCAAGAUGCGAAUCAUUAUUUGCUGCUCUAGAAAUUUAAGGAAAUUCAUUCAGAACUGUA
rnacentral:pre_miRNA from 8 species